CUGAAAUUUAAAAAUGAAAAAUAGCAGCCAGCGGAUACAUUAGAAAAUUCAUCAAAUACUAAACCUCGUUAGCCAUUUUCCAUCAGUCAAUCUGAACACGAAACUGCCCAUUAAUUGUGUGAAUUCUCUCUUCCUUGAAAUCAUCAAAUCAUUAAUCUCAACAGCUGCACACAUCAGAUUUCAGCAGCCCCACGCAACCGACCUACCCAACCCCCUUAAUUUUGAAUUGAAAACCCCACAAAAGUUUCAUAGUACUUAUACUUGAAACCAAAGAAAAACAAUCACUUUAAAUAGAUAUUCUCCUCAGAUUCAAGAACCCAGUUUUUUGUGUGUUUUGAGGUGAAACAUGGCUAUUCAGUUGGAGAAUUUGGUGCAGUCUAUAAAGUCAAAGGUAAGAUCCUUAAAGAAAUCGAAGAAGCCUUAUGUAAAAAUGGACAAGAGUGCCAGUGUUAAGGUUGAAAUCCGCAGCAAAAAAGCUCGACAACUCAUUGACAAGACUCUCAAGGUUGCUGAUCAUCCCGGAAAACGCAGUAUUUUUUAAAACUUUUAUAUCUCUCUCUAUUCUCUCUGUUUCUCUCUCUCUCACUCUCUAUACCCACAUGUAUAUAAGGAUGAGGAUCAUAUGAUGAAGAAGCAGCAAAUUUUGUGUUUUCAUUUAAUUAAGGAGUAGUGAUGUAUGGAGAUGGAAACACUAUCGAUGGUCGGAGUCCAGUGCUUUCAUUAAAGUCCAGUGCUUUCAUUAAGUUGAUGGAAGAAAUAAAUGAUAUUUGGAAAUGAAAAGUUUUGUGGGAUUGAUAUUUUGUGGUUCAAUUUUCUUUGAGCAUGGUUAAUUGAAUCUUGAUUUGUUUCAAGUUAAUUUUUUCUUGCACGUUUGAUAUGUAGCCCGUUUGUCGAAGUUUCUGUUUUUGCUUAUACUUACUGUAUAGAAUAAUGCUAUUAGCACUCACUUAUUACAGGAGAUAUGUUAUUUGAUGCACGAUUCAAUAAAAUACUACCACAUUAGUGCAUCAAAAAAUCACCUGCCAUGUAUAUAUCACAUAGGGCGAUUAUUGUGAUGAGUGAUU
rnacentral:lncRNA from 1 species